GCCAGCGUGGUAUAGUGGUUGGAGUGUAGGACUAUAACUCUGGAGACCAGGGUUCUAUUCCCCGCUCAGCCA